GCCGGGAAUGGAGGCAGGGAUGUCCGUCCACCCAUCUGUCUGUCCAGCUGCCCUUCCAACCAAUUGUGACAGGCCUCAUGUUGUCCAUCCUGUGUCACAGAGGCUAGAGACUGGUGGGUGGCCUUCUCACCAUCACCCAAUCUGCCCCAUCUUGAGGGGCUCAUAAUCCUCCAUCCCUGCAGGAGCCCCUGACCAAGAGCUGGCCCGCUGCCCAGGGGCUCAUCUCUGAGGGUGAAGACAGGGAGAGAGAGAAGAUACUCACAGAACAAAGUGGAGCAUAAACAAACAAACAAGCCAUAAUAACAGUAACAGCCAUGAGACCAGAGCCCCACUCUGUGCCAAAAUACCUGGCAGGGUGGAGAUGAGGCAGAAGGGACCAUGACAUGACCUGCAGGGUGACUGGAAGGAUGCCAGAGAUCAUGCUGGGAGGCUCAGCCCACAGACCUCAGUUAGGGGUCUAUAAAUGUUGGCUGCAGAGGCUGUUGGCAUCAUCAUUACCAUGUACUUCAUUCUUGCAUUCAGCUGAGUGUUUAAGAUAAGUAGCUAACCUGAGUUGCAGAUGGAGAAACUGAGGCUGGGAGGGGCAGGGACUUGGCCAAGGCCAGAGUAGGGAGCUGGCAGAACUGGACGCCAGCCCAGGUUCUGGCUCCCUCCAGCACCUAGAAACCCAGCUUCCCGCCCCAUCCACCCCUGACCAGCCUCAGCGCAGCUUUGGCGCCCCCAGAGCAGGGAGGUUCCAGAAUUCAGCCCAGGUGCAGGAAGAGAGGAGCUCAGGACAAACACAGGUCGCCCC